rnacentral:rRNA from 1 species
UACGAAGGGGGCUAGCGUUGCUCGGAAUUACUGGGCGUAAAGCGCACGUAGGCGGUCUUUUAAGUCGGGGGUGAAAUCCUGGAGCUCAACUCCGGAACUGCCUUCGAUACUGGAAGACUUGAGUCCGGGAGAGGUGAGUGGAACUGCGAGUGUAGAGGUGAAAUUCGUAGAUGUUCGCAAGAACACCAGUGGCGAAGGCGGCUCACUGGCCCGGUACUGACGCUGAGGUGCGAAAGCGUGGGGAGCAAACAGG